AGAGUUUGAUCAUGGCUCAGGAUAAACGCUGGCGGCGCACAUAAGACAUGCAAGUCGAACGAACUUAACCAUUAGUUUACUAUUGGAGCGGUUAGUGGCGGACUGGUGAGUAACACGUAAGCAACCUGCCUGUUAGAGGGGAACAACAGUUAGAAAUGACUGCUAAUACCGCAUAUGCCAUAUUGAGGACAUCCUCAAAGUGGGAAAGGAGAAAUCCGCUAACAGAUGGGCUUGCGUCUGAUUAGCUAGUUGGUGUGGUAACGGCAUACCAAGGCAACGAUCAGUAGCCGGACUGAGAGGUUGAACGGCCACAUUGGGACUGAGAUACGGCCCAGACUCCUACGGGAGGCAGCAGUCGGGAAUAUUGCGCAAUGGAGGAAACUCUGACGCAGUGACGCCGCGUGCAGGAAGAAGGUUUUCGGAUUGUAAACUGCUUUAGACAGGGAAGAAAAAGGACAGUACCUGUAGAAUAAGCUCCGGCUAACUACGUGCCAGCAGCCGCGGUAAUACGUAGGGAGCAAGCGUUAUCCGG
rnacentral:rRNA from 1 species